GCAUGAUUUGUGAUUCGUAUGGCAGUAUCCUAAUUAUGUUUUGGAUGUUGCUUUAAAGCAGUAUACUAAUUAUGGUUGGUUGUAAUGGUGGCUUUUUUUUAAUUAGUUUUCUAACAAUUUCUGUGAUCGAUCAGGUUAGGACACACUAAUUCUUGAAGAAAACAGAGAGGGAAAAAGUUAAAGAGACAAAACAGGAAGGAGGUGGUUCUGAUGGCAAUGACUAAGAACAAGAAAAUUUGUGAAAGGCUGUUAAUAAUUUGAUGAAAAAAACAAAAGUUGCGAGCAGUGAGGCUACUAGUUAAAGGUUGGCAGCCGACUCAGUGAAUUGCUGCUUCAAACAGCCUAUAUACAACCUCCAGUCAAUCGGUUAGCUGACAGUUCACCUGAUAUUCGACCUGCAUUGAUACACACUUGUAUAACUGUACGAAAAGAAACAAAGAACUUUAGCAGAAGAUAUGGUGUUAUCCAAUGCGAUCCACUUGUUACUAAAGGCCUUUAAAGAACUGUGUGUUCAUUUAUUUCUUCCUGUUUUUCUUUGGGAAAAAUCAGAUACAAUCAUUUCAAAAUAGCACAAUUAUUAAGGCAUGACUUGGAAAUUUACUUUUAGUUCAGUUAGUGUAUUAAAUCUGGAAGAUUUUUUUAAAUGGCCUAUCACUAUUCAUUCUUGCCAAAAUAUCUAUAGUACCCUUAAUGAAAUGGC